UGGUCGGUGGGCUGGUUUUUGGUAAGCAGAACGGGCGAUUCGGGGAUGAACCGGAAGCGGGGGAGAAAGGGCCCGAGAUUGCGUCGACGCGGAUCCCGAAAAGGGCGUCGAUCCGUCGCGACAGCGGGACGGUGGUCAUGGAAGUCGAAAUCCGCUAAGAAGCGUGUAAAAACGUACCCGCCCAACGGAUCGGCCCCGAAAAUUGAUGGCGCUCGAACGCAACCCUCGAACCCCGCCGACGGAGGCUAGGGGAGGCCCCGUCGAGUAGGCGGACGCGCGGGUCGCUUCGACGCUCUCGCGCGAGCGGGGGCGGAGCGGCCCGUGGUGCAGAUCUUGGUGGUAGUAGCGAUCACCCAGGCGAGAACCCUGAGGGCCGAAGUGGAGAAGGGUUUCUCGAGAACGGCACUCGCUCGAGAGUUAGUCGAUCCUAAGCUGCCGGCGGCAGCCACGAAACGGUCGAUCGGGCGCGAGCCCGGCAGCCACGACCGGGCAGCGAAAGGGAAUUGGGAACCU
rnacentral:rRNA from 1 species